rnacentral:rRNA from 1 species
CGUAGGGGGCAAGCGUUGUCCGGAUUUAUUGGGCGUAAAGAGCGCGUAGGCGGCCAGACAGGUCCGUUGUGAAAACUAGAGGCUUAACCUCUAGACGUCGAUGGAAACCGUCUGGCUAGAGUCCGGAAGAGGAGAAUGGAAUUCCUGGUGUAGCGGUGAAAUGCGCAGAUAUCAGGAAGAACACCCGUGGCUAAGGCGGUUCUCUAGUACGGUACUGACGCUGAGACGCGAAAGCGUGGGGAGCGAACAGGAUUAGAUACCCUGGUAGUCCACGCCGUAAACGAUGGGUGCUAGGUGUGGGGGGUGUCGACUCCCUCCGUGCCGAAGCUAACGCAUUAAGCACCCCGCCUGGGGAGUACGGCCGCAAGGCUA